rnacentral:ncRNA from 1 species
UAAAAUUUUAUUUUUGUUUGGAAAAUUAAAUUAAAUUUUGUAUUUAUAUGUAAAUUUUAGUAUGAAUUAAAUUAUUUUUUUAAUAAAAAUAAGUAAAAUUAUAUUCGCAGUAAAUUAUUUUAAAAAUUAAUGAAAAUUAGAUUUAGCUAUAUUUAUAAUAUUAACUAAAUUUGUGCCAGCAGUUGCGGUUAUACAAAUAAUAUAAUUUAAUUUUUAUUAGCAUUAAUAUAUUUUUAAUAGAAAAUUUUUAUAGGAAAUUUAUUAGGUGAAAUUUUAAAUUUUUAAAAGAAUUUGUUUAUAUUGAUUAAUUAAUAAAUUUAGAAAUAAACUAGGAUUAGAUACCCUAUUAUUAUAAAUGUAAAAUUAAGCUAGAUUAGUAUUAGUUUAUGUUUUUGAAAAUUAAAAAAUUUGGCGGUUUUUUAGUCUAUUCAGAGGAACCUGUUUUGUAAUCGAUAGUCCACGUUUUAUUUAACCUUUAUUAUAAAUUUAUAUAUCGUCGUAGUUUGAAUAUUUUAAAAGAAUUUUAAUAUUCAGGAUUUAUUAUUUAAAGAAAAUCAGAUCAAGGUAUAGUUAAUAUAAAGGUAGUAAUGGGUUACAUUAAUUUUAAUUAAGGAUAAUUUAUUUAAAAUAAAUUUGAAUAAGGAUUUGAAAGUAAUUUUUUAAGAUUUAAAAAAUGAUUUUAGCUCUAAAAUAUGUACAUAUCGCCCGUCGCUUUCACUUUAAGGUGAAAUAAGUCGUAACAAAGUAGGCUUACUGGAAAGUGUGCCUAGAAAGA